CGGAUUUAUGUAACUUUGUUGGAUAUUAAAUACCAGUGAUUUCUUCUAAAGACUGCAGAGUGCAUCUCUUUUUCAUUUAUUAUAUAUAAAAGACAAAAAUCAGCACGCCCAGGUAGCUUUCUUAGGAACUUAUUUUACUAAAAAGUGUAACAGUCAACGUUUCAGUUCCAUUCAGGAACUUACAUCAGGACAACCACAUUGAC